UCGAACGGCAGCGGGGGCUUCGGCCUGCCGGCGAGUGGCGAACGGGUGAGUAAUGCAUCGGAACGUGCCCAGUCAUGGGGGAUAACUACGCGAAAGCGUAGCUAAUACCGCAUACGCCCUGAGGGGGAAAGUGGGGGAUCUUCGGACCUCACGUGAUUGGAGCGGCCGAUGUCAGAUUAGCUAGUUGGUGAGGUAAAGGCUCACCAAGGCGACGAUCUGUAGCGGGUCUGAGAGGAUGAUCCGCCACACUGGGACUGAGACACGGCCCAGACUCCUACGGGAGGCAGCAGUGGGGAAUUUUGGACAAUGGGCGCAAGCCUGAUCCAGCCAUGCCGCGUGAGUGAAGAAGGCCUUCGGGUUGUAAAGCUCUUUCGCAAGGGAAGAAAACGUGUGGGCUAAUAUCCUGCGCGGAUGACGGUACCUUGACAAGAAGCACCGGCUAACUACGUGCCAGCAGCCGCGGUAAUACGUAGGGUGCGAGCGUUAAUCGGAAUUACUGGGCGUAAAGCGUGCGCAGGCGGUUGUGUAAGACAGGUGUGAAAUCCCCGGGCUUAACCUGGGAACUGCGCUUGUGACUGCACGGCUAGAGUACGGCAGAGGGGGGUGGAAUUCCUGGUGUAGCAGUGAAAUGCGUAGAUAUCAGGAGGAACACCGAUGGCGAAGGCAGCCCCCUGGGCCUGUACUGACGCUCAUGCACGAAAGCGUGGGGAGCAAACAGGAUUAGAUACCCUGGUAGUCCACGCCCUAAACGAUGUCAACUAGUUGUUCGUAGAGGUAACUCUGUGAGUAACGCAGCUAACGCGUGAAGUUGACCGCCUGGGGAGUACGGCCGCAAGGUUAAAACUCAAAGGAAUUGACGGGGACCCGCACAAGCGGUGGAUGAUGUGGAUUAAUUCGAUGCAACGCGAAAAACCUUACCUACCCUUGACAUGUCCAGAGCCCUCGAGAGAUUGAGGGGUGCCUUCGGGAGCUGGAA
rnacentral:rRNA from 1 species